rnacentral:antisense_RNA from 1 species
GCCUUCCCUCCCAGCAGCAAAAGCAGUCAGAGGACAAUGUUCCCUAGUCUAAUCUGCUCUUUCCUUCCUUCAUUCAUUCAGUCAUUCACUCAGCUGGCCAGCAAACACUGGAUGACCACACCUGGGCCAGGCCUUGUGGCAAAUGCUACAGUAAUGACCAGACACAUCACACCCGCCUUCUAGAAGCCCUCCCUCACAAACCGGAUCAACUGCUAUGAUAAAGCAAAUUCUAGAUCCCAGAACUAGUGCUCUUAGAGCCAAGGCCAGCCGAUCCAAGUCUGGACCACUGCUCAGAUGAGCCAAGCCUGAAUUUGGGAGUGGUCGCGUUACAGAGCAUUACCCUGGCAAUAACUGACUGAUGCAGAGAUGUAAAUAGACAUCACUGGUGGAGCCCCCAGGAAAGCUCUUUAACAGAAGACAGACUCAGCUGGCAGGUUUUUUGCCCCUUUCCCUUCUCUUCCCUUGAAUGAAGACAGGCUCAAUGCUUGGAGGGGUGAGAGGAGGCAGCCGUCUUACAACCACAGGUCACAGGAAGACACUAAACAAGGCCGUGUGGAAAGACAGAAGGAGCCUCCAUCCCUCAGCACCACAGAGACAUUGUAUCAGCCUGGAAAUGCCUAAAUCUGAACUUCCUCUUACCUAAGAAAAAUAAAACCUCAAUUUGAUU